GGGGAUUUAGCUCAGUGGUAGAGCGCUUGCCUAGAAAGUGCAAGGCCCUGGGUUCAGUCCUCA
rnacentral:tRNA from 1 species